CCCUUAGAUGUCCGGGGCCGCACGCGCGCUACACUGAAGGAAUCAGCGUGGCUUUCUCCCUGACCCGAAAGGGUUGGGAAACCCGUUGAAUCUCCUUCGUGAUAGGGAUUGGGGCUUGAAAUUGUUCCCCAUGAACGAGGAAUUCCCAGUAAGCGCGAGUCAUAAGCUCGCGUUGAUUACGUCCCUGCCCUUUGUACACACCGCCCGUCGCUCCUACCGAUUGAGUGAUCCGGUGAGGCUCUGGGACCUGGACGGAAAGAGCGUUUCGCUUGUUCUGUUUGGGAAACUUGGUCGAACCUUAUCAUUUAGAGGAAGGAGAAGUCGUAACA
rnacentral:rRNA from 1 species